rnacentral:rRNA from 1 species
UACGAAGGGGGCUAGCGUUGUUCGGAAUCACUGGGCGUAAAGCGCACGCAGGCGGAUCGUUAAGUCAGGGGUGAAAUGCCGAGGCUCAACCUCGGAACUGCCUUUGAUACUGGCGAUCUUAGAGUCCGGGAGAGGUGAGUGGAACUCCGAGUGUAGAGGUGAAAUUCGUAGAUAUUCGGAAGAACACCAGUGGCGAAGGCGGCUCACUGGCCCGGUACUGACGCUCAGGUGCGAAAGCGUGGGGAGCAAACAGGAUUAGAAAC